GCCACCUCAGAGCCGGCCAGGUAGAAGAUGAUCUCAUAGUUCUUCAACACAUCCACCAGGCGGCCUGGGGAGGAGGAGGAAGAGGAGGGAGAGAUGUAAAACCUCAUGUGGAUUCUGCCAUUUGAAACCUUAAAAAUGUCACUUGCUGUCCCUGGACCUCAAUUGCUUAAGUGAUAUGUGGCUUCUGAGACAGGGUUUUGCCAUGUUGCCCCGGCUGGUUUCAGACUUCUGGCCUCAGCCCCCCAAAGCGCUGGGAUUACAUGCAUGAGCCACUACACCCGACCAGGAAAAUCUCUUAAUUGCAAGUAUUUCCCCCUAAAGUGUGGUUUGUCUGUGUGCUCCACCCUCUCUCUAGGUCAUUCUCCUCACCCCAUGCACCUCCUCUGCCCAUCAGAUCCAUCCAGAUUCACACAAGAAAUGGAAGACGGUUCCUUGAGGCCUGGGCAGGCUGGUUUUGUGGCCUGCCCACACACUGGCUCAGGGACUUUGCCGUUCUCACUGGGUCAGGUGGGAUGACAGAGCUCAGUGAGGGCACUCGAUUAGCCCAGCCCUGAAGGAAGGACGAGCAGCUCACCCCAUCUCAGUGCAGCCUGCGGCCCCCGCAAGGUGUCCUCCCUGGUUACUGCACCAUCUCACAGCCCUCUAGCCUCUGGGACUCAAAGGCAGGCUCCCUUGCUGUUUCAAGAUAACUUGACAACCCAGGAAAACCCUCAUGUCCCCCACUCCCACCUUUCCAAUUUUGGUUCCUGCCUUGCUUGCAUAAGGACGCUGUUCCCCCCCAACAAGCCCUGCCCAUCCAUGCUGUGCCUUCACCUGGGGGAUAUUCCAGGAAGCCUUCCCUGACCACCCUCAUGACGAUGACUUCCUAAGGGUGACGGUGACAAGUGCCAGCAGGCCAUCUGCACAGUGAAAGACACCAGUGCUUCUCCCCAUCUGCCCGCUGAGCACCCCCACUCUGUUUCUGGCCCCAACACCAGUUUCCCAAAGAUACUGUCCCCAUUCCAGUCACCAUUCUAGAUGCACCAUUCUAAAGGCGUGGGCAUUUAGCAGCAGGUACACUGAGGCUCUCAUUCUGGGGCUGCAACUUGCGCUAAGGCUUUGUGCCUCAGUUUCCUCAUCUGCAAAAUGAGAAUAAGCACCUGCGCUCCAGAUGGCCUUGUGCCAACUGCUUGGGAUGGCAGAUCUGGCCAGCUACCAGUGUUGCUUUCUUCCCUGCACCUUCCUGGGCUUUUCUGUCCUCACCCAGAGCGGGCGGUCCGGCUUGGAGGAGGGACUAACUGGCCGUGAAGGGGAGUCCACCCACCCGACUGCCCCUUCCCCUCAUCCCUGGAAGUUCCAUCUGAGACAGGGGGAUGGAGCUUCCCUGGGUCUAAGGGGCACUAGGCUCGCCACCCCCUCUUCCUUCGGGGCGCACCG
rnacentral:lncRNA from 1 species